rnacentral:rRNA from 1 species
CACGUAGUUGGCCGGGGCUUCUUAGUCAGGUACCGUCUUGCUUCUUCCCUGCCGAUAGGGCUUUACGUGCCGAAGCACUCCUUCACCCACGCGGCGUCGCUGCAUCAGGGUUCCCCCCAUUGUGCAAUAUCCCCCACUGCUGCCUCCCGUAGGAGUCUGGGCCGUGUCCCAGUCCCAAUGUGGCCGUCCGCCCUCUCAGGCCGGCUACCGAUCGUCGCCUUGGUGGGCCGCUGCCCCGCCAACAAGCUAAUCGGACGCGGACCCAUCGCAUGCCGGGAUCGCUCCCUUUCCGCACUGCGCCAUGCGGCGCCGUGCGCAUAUGCGGUAUUAGCGGCUGUUUCCAGCCGGUAUCCCCCUGCAUGCGGCAGGUUGUCCACGCGUUACUCACCCGUCCGCCACGUCGGCAGAUAUCACUUAGGUUCAAUCUCGCCCCGUUCGACUUGCAUGUGGUUAGCACGCCGCAGCGUUCACUCCUGACGCAGGACUACAAACUCUUACG